rnacentral:rRNA from 1 species
AUUGAACGCUGGCGGCAGGCCUAACACAUGCAAGUCGAGCGGAUGAGUGGAGCUUGCUCCAUGAUUCAGCGGCGGACGGGUGAGUAAUGCCUAGGAAUCUGCCUGGUAGUGGGGGACGACGUUUCGAAAGGAACGCUAAUACCGCAUACGUCCUACGGGAGAAAGUGGGGGAUCUUCGGACCUCACGCUAUCAGAUGAGCCUAGGUCGGAUUAGCUAGUUGGUGAGGUAAAGGCUCACCAAGGCGACGAUCCGUAACUGGUCUGAGAGGAUGAUCAGUCACACUGGAACUGAGACACGGUCCAGACUCCUACGGGAGGCAGCAGUGGGGAAUAUUGGACAAUGGGCGAAAGCCUGAUCCAGCCAUGCCGCGUGUGUGAAGAAGGUCUUCGGAUUGUAAAGCACUUUAAGUUGGGAGGAAGGGCGGUAAGUUAAUACCUUGCUGUUUUGACGUUACCAACAGAAUAAGCACCGGCUAACUUCGUGCCAGCAGCCGCCGUAAAAC